UGAUUCUUCGGAUGAAGUCUCUUGUGACUGAGUGGCGGACGGGUGAGUAACGCGUGGGUAACCUGCCUCACACAGGGGGAUAACAGUUGGAAACGACCGCUAAUACCGCAUAACCCGCUGGUGCCGCAUGGCACUGACGGAAAAGAUUUAUCGGUGUGAGAUGGACCCGCGUCUGAUUAGCCAGUUGGCAGGGUAACGGCCUACCAAAGCGACGAUCAGUAGCCGGCCUGAGAGGGUGAACGGCCACAUUGGGACUGAGACACGGCCCAGACUCCUGCGGGAGGCAGCAGUGGGGAAUAUUGCACAAUGGGGGAAACCCUGAUGCAGCGACGCCGCGUGAGUGAAGAAGUAUUUCGGUAUGUAAAGCUCUAUCAGCAGGGAAGAAAAUGACGGUACCUGAUUAAGAAGCCCCGGCUAACUACGUGCCAGCAGCCGCGGUAAUACGUAGGGGGCAAGCGUUAUCCGGAUUUACUGGGUGUAAAGGGAGCGUAGACGGUGAUGCAAGUCAGAAGUGAAAGCCCGGGGCUCAACUCCGGGACUGCUUUUGAAACUGUGUGACUGGAGUGCAGGAGAGGUAAGCGGAAUUCCUGGUGUAGCGGUGAAAUGCGUAGAUAUCAGGAGGAACACCAGUGGCGAAGGCGGCUUACUGGACUGUAACUGACGUUGAGGCUCGAAAGCGUGGGGAGCAAACAGGAUUAGAUACCCUGGUAGUCCACGCCGUANACGAUGAAUAUUAGGUGUCGGGGAGCAAAGCUCUUCGGUNCCGCAGCAAACGCAUUAAAUAUUCCA
rnacentral:rRNA from 1 species